GGCGGCGUGCUUAACACAUGCAAGUCGAGCGGAAAGGCCCUUCGGGGGUACUCGAGCGGCGAACGGGUGAGUAACACGUGAGCAACCUGCCCCUGACUCUGGGAUAAGCCCGGGAAACUGGGUCUAAUACCGGAUAUGACCGCCCCUGGCAUCGGGUGGUGGUGGAAAGUUUUUUCGGUUGGGGAUGGGCUCGCGGCCUAUCAGCUUGUUGGUGGGGUAGUGGCCUACCAAGGCGACGACGGGUAGCCGGCCUGAGAGGGCGACCGGCCACACUGGGACUGAGACACGGCCCAGACUCCUACGGGAGGCAGCAGUGGGGAAUAUUGCGCAAUGGGCGGAAGCCUGAGCCAGCGACGCCGCGUGGGGGAUGACGGCCUUCGGGUUGUAAACCUCUUUCAGCAGGGACGAAGUUGACGUGUACCUGCAGAAGAAGCGCCGGCUAACUACGUGCCAGCAGCCGCGGUAAUACGUAGGGCGCAAGCGUUGUCCGGAAUUAUUGGGCGUAAAGAGCUCGUAGGUGGCUGGUCGCGUCUGCCGUGAAAGCCCGCAGCUUAACUGCGGGUCUGCGGUGGAUACGGGCCGGCUAGAGGUAGGUAGGGGCAAGUGGAAUUCCUGGUGUAGCGGUGAAAUGCGCAGAUAUCAGGAGGAACACCGGUGGCGAAGGCGGCUUGCUGGGCCUUACCUGACGCUGAGGAGCGAAAGCGUGGGGAGCGAACAGGAUUAGAUACCCUGGUAGUCCACGCUGUAAACGUUGGGCGCUAGGUGUGGGGGUCUUCCACGAUCUCGUGCCGGAGCUAACGCAUUAAGCGCCCCGCCUGGGGAGUACGGCCGC
rnacentral:rRNA from 1 species